GUAUCAAUUUAAUUAAAAGAAGACGCCAGACGACUUCUUGCACUAUAAGUGACGACUGCACAUGCACAGGAGACCAUGAAGUGGCCACAUGUGACAACGGAAUGUGCCACUGCCACCAUGACGGUCAUCAUGACAACGGAAACCACAACCCACCACAUCAUCCUGGGAAAAGAGAAAAGGAAACAUGCACAGCUCCUACCGACUGCACAUGCGCAGAUAACCAGGUUGCUGAAUGUCAUAAUGGCCAUUGCUCCUGCCACCAUGACAGCGGCCAUCACCCUUAAAUGAGCAAAGACCGUUUUAAAAUUCAUUCCUUUGUUUCUGUGCUGUCUUUUUACUAGCGUG